ACGCUGGCGGCACGCCUAACACAUGCAAGUCGAACGAAGUAGCAAUACUUAGUGGCAGACGGGUGAGUAACAUGUAGGUAUCUGCCCUUUGGCCUGGAAUAACACGAGGAAACUUGUGCUAAUACCGGAUAAGUCUUUACGGAGAAAGCUUUAUGCACCAUUGGAUGAGCCUGCACUUGAUUAGUUUGUUGGUGGGGUAAUGGCCUACCAAGACUGUGAUCAAUAGCUGAUUUGAGAGGAUGAUCAGCCACAUUGGGACUGAGACACGGCCCAAACUCCUACGGGAGGCAGCAGUGGGGAAUCUUGCACAAUGGAGGAAACUCUGAUGCAGCGAUGCCGCGUGAGUGAAGAAGGCCCUUGGGUUGUAAAGCUCUUUCGUCGGGGAAGAAAAUGACUGUACCCGAAUAAGAAGGUCCGGCUAACUUCGUGCCAGCAGCCGCGGUAAUACGAAGGGACCUAGCGUAGUUCGGAAUUACUGGGCUUAAAGAGUUCGUAGGUGGUUGAAAAAGUUAGUGGUGAAAUCCCAGAGCUUAACUCUGGAACUGCCAUUAAAACUUUUCAGCUAGAGUAUGAUAGAGGAAAGCAGAAUUUCUAGUGUAGAGGUGAAAUUCGUAGAUAUUAGAAAGAAUACCAAUUGCGAAGGCAGCUUUCUGGAUCAUUACUGACACUGAGGAACGAAAGCAUGGGUAGCGAAGAGGAUUAGAUACCCUCGUAGUCCAUGCCGUAAACGAUGUGUGUUAGACGUUGGAAAUUUAUUUUCAGUGUCGCAGGGAAACCGAUAAACACACCGCCUGGGGAGUACGACCGCAAGGUUAAAACUCAAAUGAAUUGACGGGGACCCGCACAAGUAGUGGAGCAUGUGGUUUAAUUCGAAGAUACGCGCAGAACCUUACCAACACUUGACAUGUUCGUCGCGACUCUAAGAGAUUAGAGUUUUCGGUUCGGCCGGACGAAACACAGGUGCUGCAUGGCUGUCGUCAGCUCGUGUCGUGAGAUGUUGGGUUAAGUCCCGCAACGAGCGCAACCCUCACUUUUAGUUGCCAUCAUUAAGUUGGGCACUCUGAAAGAACUGCCAGUGAUAAGCUGGAGGAAGGUGGGGAUGACGUCAAGUCCUCAUGGCCCUUACGUGUUGGGCUACACACGUGCUACAAUGGUAUUUACAACAGGAAGCAAGACUGCGAAGUUAAGCAAAUCCCUAAAAGAUACCUCAGUUCGGAUUGCACUCUGCAACUCGAGUGCAUGAAGCUGGAAUUACUAGUAAUCGUGGAUCAGCGUGCCACGGUGAAUGCGUUCCCGGGUCUUGCACACACCGCCCG
rnacentral:rRNA from 1 species